GUGUCAGCAGCCGCGGUAAUACGGAGGGUGCGAGCGUUGUUCGGAAUUAUUGGGCGUAAAGCGCGUGUAGGCGGUCCGUUAAGUCUGAUGUGAAAGCCCAGGGCUCAACCCUGGAAGUGCAUUGGAAACUGGCGGACUUGAGUACGGGAGAGGGAAGUGGAAUUCCGAGUGUAGGGGUGAAAUCCGUAGAUAUUCGGAGGAACACCAGUGGCGAAGGCGGCUUCCUGGACCGAUACUGACGCUGAGACGCGAAAGCGUGGGGAGCAAACAGGAUUAGAUACCCUGGUAGUCCACGCUGUAAACGAUGAGUACUAGGUGUUGCGGGUAUUGACCCCUGCAGUGCCGCAGCUAACGCAUUAAGUACUCCGCCUGGGAAGUACGGUCGCAAGACUAAAACUUAAAUGAAUUGACGGGG
rnacentral:rRNA from 1 species